ensembl:lncRNA
AGUAAGUAGUGUUUUUCCCCUGAUCUCACAUGAGUGUAUCAAGCUGUAAAUGGGUUCUAACACAAUUGUUCUUUUGUGCAGAAAGGACACCCGAUAUGUCUGUUUCACUGAAGCUAUGUCUACACUGCGAGCUAGGAUGUGAUUCCCCUGCUCCCAUCAAGCUAGCAUUGUUUCAAUUCAAACCUAUCUGAAGUGAAGGACUUUGGCAGAAUCCGUCAUGAAGUCACGGGCUAAUACUGCCAGAGGCUUUUGUCUGACCUGAACAUUUCAGUAGUGGAAAUAGCUCCUGACCAUUGACUCACAGAACAAUAAGAGCAAAACAGCUUUACUGCUCUUAUCUCCUCCCUCGGAGAACAUUCCUCCUGCUCCAGACCCCCACCGGGAUGACAACCCUCUGUCUGCAUGACUGAUAUCCAGCAUGUCUUAAUCUACCAAACCACAUAGCUGUAUCCAACACUGGCCCAUUGGGAUAUGGUUCCUUAAACCUCAAAGCAAAUUGCAAUCGCACAAUAGCAUGUCAGGUAUAUUUAGAAGCAGCUGAUGCCCUCUCCCUUUCUCCCCCAUCUCUCUCUCUCUCUCUCUCUC